rnacentral:misc_RNA from 1 species
GAUGAAGAACGCAGCGAAAUGCGAUAAGUAAUGUGAAUUGCAGAAUUCAGUGAAUCAUCGAAUCUUUGAACGCACAUUGCGCCCCUUGGUAUUCCGAGGGGCAUGCCUGUUCGAGCGUCAUUAUCACCCCUUAAGCUUUGCUUGGUGUUGGGGCCUGCUGUAAUAGGCAGCCCUUAAAAUCAGUGGCGGUGCUUCAAGGCUCUAAGCGUAGUAAUUCUCCUCGCUAUAGUGUCUAGUGGUUGCCAGCCAGAACCCCCCAAUUUUCAUGAUUGACCUCGGAUCAGGUAGGGAUACCCGCUGAACUUAAGCAUAUCAAUAAGCGGAGGA